UAACUCCUCACUUAAUGUUGUAGUUAUGUUCCUGAAAAAUGCAACUUUAAGUGAAACAAUGUUAAACGAAUCCAAUUGUCCUAUAAGAUUUAAUGUAAUAUGGGGGGUUGGUUCCAAGGAAAUUU